UACGUAGGGGGCUAGCGUUGUCCGGAUUUAUUGGGCGUAAAGAGCGUGUAGGCGGCCUGGUAGGUCUGCUGUGAAAACUCGAGGCUCAACCUCGAGAUGUCGGCGGAAACCAUCUGGCUAGAGUCCGGAAGAGGAGAAUGGAAUUCCCGGUGUAGCGGUGAAAUGCGCAGAUAUCGGGAGGAACACCGGUGGCGAAGGCGGCAUCCUGGCCGGUAUUGACGCUGAGGCGCGAAAGCUAGGGGAGCAAACGGG
rnacentral:rRNA from 1 species